AAAAAUGUAUUUGUGAGAGUCAAAAUAAAGACAAAAAUGUCACAAUUAUUUCUAAACAUCCAGUUUGCUGCAGCAGUGUUUGAUGAGGGAAAUUUAAUUUCUUAACAUUUCUGCUCUGCUGUCAGUGUCUGAGACACAUUUGAGAGGAAACGCUUUGAAUUUGUGUCCCACCCCUGUGAUUGGAGCUCAAUAUCAGAGCGUCUGUCAGUCCGACUGUAAAUCCAACAUCACUGUCCUUCAGUUUCACUCAUUCCCAGUAAAGAUGAGGACACACGCUCUGAUCAUCUGCUCUCUGCUGCUGCUGCUCAACGAGUGUAGAGGACAGAUCACCGUCACUCAGAGUCCCUCAAUGACAGCAGCUCAACCAGGACAAACUGUGAACAUCAACUGUAAAACCAGCACAGAUGUGCGCAAUGGAGAUAAUUUAUACUGGUACUUACAGAAACCUGGAGAAGCUCCUAAACUCCUGAUUUAUUGGGCCAACCGCCGUCAGUCAGGAACUCCAUCUAGAUUCAGUGGCAGUGGAUCUAACAGUGAUUUCACUCUGACCAUCAGUGGAGUCCAGACUGAAGAUGCUGGACAUUAUUACUGUCAGAGUUUACACAUCAUCAGCAGUAACUGGGUGUUCACACAGUGAUAAAGAGUCGUACAA